rnacentral:snRNA from 1 species
AGAGAAUGGCGUGAACCCAGGAGGUGGAGCUUGCAGUGAGACAAGAUCAUGUCACUGCACCCCAGCCUGGGCGACAGAG